rnacentral:rRNA from 1 species
GGUAGGGGCGCUUUUAUUGGUCCAAGACCAUUCGCCCGGUCCGUCCGGGCGUCUCCUUGAUGAAUCCAAAUAACAAAUCAGAUCGCAUGGUCUUCGUACCGGCGACUUAUCUUUCAAAUGCCUGACUUAUCAACUGACGAUGGUAGACUCUGUGUCUACCAUGGCUCCUACGGGUAACGGGGAAUCAGGGUUCGAUUCCGGAGAGGGAGCCUGAGAAACGGCUACCACAUCCAAGGAAGGCAGCAGGCACGCAAAUUACCCACUCCCGGCACGGGGAGGUAGUGACAAAAAAUAACGAUACGGGACUCGAUAAGAGGCCCCGUAAUCGGAAUGAUUACACUUUAAACACUUUUUUAAAAAUCUAUUGGAGGGCAAGUCCGGUGCCAGCAGCCGCGGUAAUUCCGGCUCCAAUAGCGUAUAUUAAAGUUGUUGCGGUUAAAAAGCUCGUAGUUGGUUCUGCGUGCCGCGCUGUCGGUUCACCGCCUGCCGGUGCAACUGGCAUGCCGCGGCAUGUCCUGUCGGUGGCGGCCGACUAUCCUUCGAUCGUCGAGUUAGCUCGGCGGUUGAUGGUGUCUUUUGAACGCCGGCUCAAUCCUACCGCGGUGCUCUUUACCGAGUGUCGAGGUAGGCCGACACUGUUUACUUUGAACAAAUUAGAGUGCUUAAAGCAGGCUCUUAAAUCAGCCUGAAUAGUGGUGCAUGGAAUAAUGGAACAGGACCUUGGUUCUAUUUUGUUGGUUUUCAGGAACACAAGGAAAUGAUCAAUGUGGACAGGCGGGGGCAUUCGUAUUGCGGCGUUAGAGGUGAAAUUCUUGGAUCGUCGCAAGACGCACUAGAGCGAAAGCAUUUGCCAAGUAUGUCUUAAUUGAUCAAGAACGAAAGUUAGAGGUUCGAAGGCGAUCAGAUACCGCCCUAGUUCUAACCAUAAACGAUGCCAGCCAGCGAUCCGCCGAUGUUCCUCCGAUGACUCGGCGGGGAGCUUUCCCCGGGAAACCAAAGCUUUUGGGUUCCGGGGGAAGUAUGGUUGCAAAGCUGAAACUUAAAGGAAUUGACGGAAGGGCACCACCAGGAGUGGAGCCUGCGGCUUAAUUUGACUCAACACGGGAAACCUCACCAGGCCCGGACAUUGGAAGGAUUGACAGAUCGAUAGCUCUUUCUCGAUUCAGUGGGUAGUGGUGCAUGGCCGUUCUUAGUUGGUGGACUGAUUUGUCUGGUUAAUUCCGAUAACGAACGAGACUCUAGCCUAUUAACUAGGCGUUGCCGGUAUAAACAGCUACCGGCGAGAUUUUUUCUUCUUAAGGGGACAGGCGGCUCUCAGCCGCACGAGAUUGAGCAAUAACAGGUCUGUGAUGCCCUUAGAUGUUCUGGGCCGCACGCGCGCUACACUGAAGGAAUCAGCGUGUGCGUUCCCCUGUCCGAAAGGUCCGGGUAACCCGCUGAACCUCCUUCGUGCUAGGAAUUGGGGCUUGCAAUUGUUCCCCAUGAACGAGGAAUUCCCAGUAAGCGCGAGUCAUAAGCU